UACGAAGGGAGCGAGCGUUAUUCGGAAUCACUGGGCUUAAAGCGUGCGUAGGCGGAUUUAUAAGUCAGAAGUGAAAGCCCGGGGCUUAACCCCGGAACUGCUUUUGAGACUGUAAGUCUAGAAUUCGGUAGAGGUUAGUGGAAUGUCCAGUGUAGAGGUGAAAUUCGCAGAUAUUGGACGGAACACCAGUGGCGAAGGCGACUAACUGGGCCGAUAUUGACGCUGAGGUACGAAAGCGUGGGUAGCAAACAGG
rnacentral:rRNA from 1 species